rfam:Picea glauca, whole genome shotgun sequence.
GCAUCCAUUGUCUAAUGGAUAGGACAGAGGUCUUAUAAACCUUUGGUAUAGUUUCAAAUCCUAUUGGACGUA